UGCAAAAUCUUUUAUUUUUUUCCUUUCUCACACACACCCCAGACCCCUAACGUUAAGCCAGCUUCCAUCUCCCCAUUCCACACGAUCUUGAGUAGCACACGUUAUGGUCGGUUCCUCCGAAGAGUGUUGUAUUAGGGUCUGAGAGGCAGAGGGGCUGGGAAAGACUUGUUAUAGUCCGUGUGGGAAUGAGAGAAGUCGGUGCAGAAUAGUAAACGGGAGUCUGUUUCCCACAGGUCCCCUUCCCCUGAGCCCAUCUACAAUAGCGAGGGGAAGCGGCUUAACACCCGAGAGUUCCGCACCCGCAAAAAGCUGGAAGAGGAGCGGCACAACCUCAUCACAGAGAUGGUUGCACUCAAUCCGGAUUUCAAGCCACCUGCAGAUUACAACCUCCAGCAACACGUGUGAGUGA
rnacentral:lncRNA from 1 species